CGGACUUUUUAUUAGUCUCAAACUCCAUUUUCAGUCCUCUUCUUAUUCUAUCACUUAGAAGUUAGAAGCCGACCUUUUCUUUUCUCAUCUCCCCUUUCCCUCUUCCUCUACCUCACUCUCUUCCCCACUGCCGAUCCUCACUCUCUUCCCCACUCCCCACUGCCGAUCCUCCCCACUCAUCAUCUUUGCCGUUCCAUUCCGCCGUCCCCUCCUCCACUGCUUUCGUCGAACACCUUCUGCCCGAGCAGGAGGAGGAUUGGGACUUGAACAAUAUGGCGCAGAGCGACGCUUUCUAUCUCUAGAUCCACCGAAAGCCCAAGAGAUAUUCAGAAGUCCGAUGCCGACACAAGGACCGAUGAUGCUUCUGGUCGAUGACGGUGACGAGGAGUAGCGAUGUGAGCUCGUGUGAGCAUCGGAAAGGCAGGGUAUCACCAAGGAGGCGACGGAUUGAAGUUGCAUUGAAUUUGAGCUUUUUUGGAAUUGUUUUAGUUGCAUUGGAUUGAAGUUGAUUGCGAUUCUGUUUCAAUUAAGUACAUUACACAGUUCGAUUUGAGCGGCGACAAUAGGGGGACGCCUUUGAAGUUCACUGUCAGUAGAGGUGAGGGAGUUCAUUGACAGUAGGGCGACGAUAGGCCCUUGUUCUUCAGAUUCUCUAAAGCCAACCCCAGUUGCACAGAGAUCCUGUACCACCACCACCACCAGGACCCUCCUUCUCUCUCUCUCUCUCUCUCUCUCUCUCUCUCUCUCUCUCUCUCUCUAAGUAAAGAUUGGUAUUUUACAUGUAAUCCUCUAAAUUCUGAAAUCAAAAUCUCAUCUUUAUGAUAUCUUCACCUGUUUUUUUAUUUUCCCAAUUUUCUGGGCCACCACCCAGAUCGCUUAGCUAUCUCUGUUUCAAUUUGUAUAUGCUCAUCUAUUCCGUUUGUUGUUUUCUGUGGUUGGAUCUUGGAUUCGGAUUCGGAUUCAAAACCCAUUCUUGUUUAUGAUUAGAUGUUUUUGUAUAUAAUUUGUAUCAAUGAUUCUGGUGUGAGAAAUAUUCGUUGUCUAUUGCACCAAUCGGUCUUUCUUUACUCAUUGGUUUUUGGAUUUCUCAACCUUCUCCUUCAUUUGCUAGCUUCACCAUUGUAUCAGUUGUCUGCUAUUUCCUUGCUAAUGGCUUCAUAGCCAUUCUGAUUUUGAUAUCCCAGUUCGCCUUUUAUGGGGCUGCUCUGCUACAUAUUUUCAUCAAGAAAAGGAAUUAUUUUUUUGCAGGUUUCAAUUUGGGGGAAAAACUUCUCAAUGGUUUGUGAAUAUAGCCUCUGUUUUCUGUUCAUGGAAGUUCUUGAAAAAGGUUGAAAUGCUGACUCAUGAACUUUGACACGACUCUUUUAUGAACAGGUGGUAAGGGUUGUAAGAGCUAAUCCACUAAUGCUUACAGCACUUGCUGCAAUUACUUUGGCAUGCUUGGUUCAUCCAGGUUUGGGUCUACUUGUUCUCUUGCUCUCUCAUGCUUUGUGCUGUCAUACUGCUCUUUGCAGAAUAAUGGAGUGCGAGAAGCAGCUUAGCAUACUUUAUCAAAAACAAGGUCGUGCGACCCAGUUUCCAAGUAAAGCUGCUCGUGACAAAUGGCUUCAAAAGGAAAUUGAUGAUCUUGAACGAGUUCUUUCUUCAAAUUUGGCACAGCUUCUUUGAAUGAGAGAAGAGGUUGAUGCGGAAUGAAUGAGUUAAGUCAGAAGAUUCUGGGAGGAUUGCAGAGGCUAGGACACUAAAUCAGUAGACAAUGAUUUACAAUAUUCAGCUAGUAUUAAGUACCUUAUAAGAGGGCAUGGCCAACCAUUUCAGAUCCAGUGCUAUAUAUUGGCAGGGAUUGCUUCUGCUAUGGCAGGGUUGAGUGCACCAUCUUGCUGGGAUAUACUGUGCAAUAGUUACACUCAACCAUAGGUCGGAACGAUUAAAGAGAGCCCAAUCUGAGAAAUCAUCACUUCUGGAAAAAGCUGAGGAACUUGCAGAUCAAUUGGCAGUGGAUAUCCUCAUUUUGUCAAAGUGAUGCUUCCAUCAAAUGUUGCUGUAGGCUUCUAGCUUCAACACGUCCAGGUGCUUAGAGAAGGGAUGAGCUUGUUGCCAGCUUUACCUUCAACCCGUUGCUGAAAGCAUGGAUAAAUGAAUGGCUUCAGUGGUGUGAUAUUAAGUCUUACAAAUUUGAUUUUGUACUCAUCUUAUUGAGUUAAGUGUAAGAAAUAUGUAGUGGCAUCUGUUAGGGAUGAAAAUUUUAUGAAGUGUUUCUUUUACAUCCAGCUUCUUAUAUAUAUGAUAUGAGCCUAUGAGGGUAAUAUGAAUA